rnacentral:rRNA from 1 species
GAGACAGCAGUAGCCGCGGUAAUACGGAGGAUCCAAGCGUUAUCCGGAUUUAUUGGGUUUAAAGGGUGCGUAGGCGGCCUAUUGAGUCAGGGGUGAAAGACGGUAGCUUAACUAUCGCAGUGCCUUUGAUACUGAUGGGCUUGAAUACACUUGAGGUAGGCGGAAUGUGACAAGUAGCGGUGAAAUGCAUAGAUAUGUCACAGAACACCAAUUGCGAAGGCAGCUUACUAAAGUGUCAUUGACGCUGAGGCACGAAAGCGUGGGGAUCAAACAGGAUUAGAUACCCGCGUAGUCCCUGUCUCUUAUAC